GCACCUUGCGACCCCCACUCCUGCCCAUGGAGCACCUUGCGACCCCCACUCCUGCCCGCCAGAGAACAAACCCCCUUUGACUGUAAUUUUCCUUUACCUACCCAAAUCCUAUAAAACGGCCUCACCCUUAUCUCCCUUCGCUGACUCUCUUUUCAGACUCAGCCCACCUGCACCCAGGUGAAAUAAACAGCUUUAUUGCUCACACAAAGCCUGUUUGGUGGUCUCUUCACACGGACGCCCAUGAAAUUUGGUGCGGUGACUCGGAUCGGGGGACCUCCCUUGGGAGAUCAAUCCCCCGUCCUCCUGCUCUUUGCUCCCUGAGAAAGAUCCACCUACGACCUCAGGUCCUCAGACCGACCAGCCCAAGAAACAUCUCACCAAUUUCAAAACCGGUAAGCGGCCUCUCUUUACUCUCUUCUCCAACUUCCCUCACUAUCCCUCAACCUCUUUCUCCUUUCAAUCUUGGCGCCACACUUCAAUCUCUCCCUUCUCUUAAUUUCAAUUCCUUUCAUUUUCUGGUAGAGACAAAAGGGACAUGUUUUAUCCGUGGACCCAAACUCCGGCGCCGGUCACCGACUGGGAAGGCAGCCUUCCCUUGGUGUUUAAUCACUGCAGGGUUGCCUCUCUGAUUACACACACACGUUUCAAGGGUGUCAGACCACGCAGGGACGCCUGCCUUGGUCCUUCACCCUCAGCGGCAAGUCCCGCUUUCCUGGGGCAGGGGCAAGUACCCCUCAACCCUUUCUCCUUCACCCUUAGCGGCUAGUCCCGCUUUCCUGGGGCAGGGGCAAGUACCCCUCAACCCCUUCUCCUUCACCCUUAGCGGCUAGUCCCGCUUUCCUAGGGGGCAAGAACCCCCCAGUGGCAUAUUUCUGCACCCCAACCUCUUAUCUCUGUGCCCCAAUUCCUUAUUUCCAUGCCCCAACCCUUUCUCUGCUUUUCUGGAAGGCAAGAACCCCCCACCCCUUCUCCGUGUCUCUACUCUUUUCUCUGGGCUUGCCUCCCUUCACUAUGGGUAAGCUUCCAACUUCCAUUCCUCCUCCUUCUCCCUUAGCCUGUGUUCUCCAAAACUUAAAACCUCUUCAACUCACACCUGACCUAAAACCUAAAUGCCUUAUUUUCUUCUGCAAUACCACUUGACCCCAAUACAAACUCGACAGUAGUUCCAAAUAGCCGGAAAAUGGCAUUUUCAAUUUUUCCAUCCUACAAGAUCUAAAUAAUUCUUGUUGUAAAAUGGGCAAAUGGUCUGAGGUGCCUGACAUCCAGGCAUUCUUUUACACAUCAGUCCCUUCCUAGUCUCUGUGCCCAGUGCAACUCGUCCCAGAUCCUCCUCCUUUCCCUCCCGCCUGUCCCCUCAGUCCCAACCCCAAGCAUCGCUGAGUCUUCCCAAUCUUCCUUUUCUACAGACCCAUCUGACCUCUCCCCUCCUCCCCAGGCUGCUCGUCACCAGGCCGAGCUAAGUCCCAAUUCUUCCUCAGCCUCCACUCCUCCACCCUAUAAUCCUUCUAUCACCUCCCCUCCUCACACCCGGUCCGGCUUACAAUUUAGUUCCGCGACCAGCUCUUCCCCACCUGCCCAGCAAUUUACUCUUAAAAAGGUGGCUGGAGCCAAAGGCAUAGUCGAGGUUAAUGCUCCUUUUUCUUUAUCCCAAAUCAGAUAGCAUUCAGGCAGUUUUUCAUCAAAUAUAAAAACCCAGCCCAGUUCAUGGCUCGUUUGGCAGCAACCCUGAGACGCUUUACAGCCCUAGACCCUAAAAGGUCAAAAGGCCAUCUUAUUCUCAAUAUACAUUUUAUUACCCAAUCUGCUCCCGACAUUAAAUAAAAGUCCAAAAAUUAAAUUCCGGCCCUCAAACCCCACAACAGGAUUUAAUUAACCUCGCCUUCAAGGUGUACAAUAAUAGAAAAAAGUUGCAAUUCCUUGUGAGAUUGUGAGUGCAAUCCACUGUGAGACAAACCCCAGCCACAUCUCCAGCACACAAGAACUUCCAAACGCCUGAACCGCAGCGGCCAGGCGUUCCUCCAGAACCUCCUCCCCCAGGACCUUGCUACAAGUGCCAGAAAUCUGACCACCAGGCCAAGGAAUGCCUGCAGCCCGGGAUUCCUCCUAAGCUGUGUCCCAUCUGUGCGGGACCCCACUGGAAAUCGGACUGUUCAACUCACCUGGCAGCCACUCGCAGAGCCCCUGGAAGGCUGGCCCAAGGCUCUCUGACUGACUCCUUCCCGGCUUAGCAGCUGAAGACUGACGCUGCCCGAUCGCCUCGGAAGCCCCGUAGACCAUCACGGACGCCGAGCUUUAGAAGGCAGGAAUGUCAGGCCUCUGAGCCCAAGCCAAGCCAUCGCAUCCCCUGUGACCUGCGCUUAUAUGCCCAGAUGGCCUGAAGUAACUAAAGAAUCACGAAAGAAGUGAAUAUGCCCUGCCCCACCUUAACUGAUGACAUUCCACCACAAAAGAAUUGUAAAUGGCCGGUCCUUGCCUUAACUGAUGACAUUAUCUUGUGAAAGUCCUUUUCCUGGCUCAUCCUGGCUCAAAAAGCACCCCCACUGAGCACCUUGCGACCCCCACUCCGGCCCGCCAGAGAACAAACCCCCUUUGACUGUAAUUUUCCUUUACCUACCCAAAUCCUAUAAAACGGCCCCACCCUUAUCUCCCUUCGCUGACUCUCUCUUCGGACUCAGCCCACCUGCACCCAGGUGAAAUAAACAGCUUUAUUGCUCACUCAAAGCCUGUUUUGUGGUCUCUUCACACGGAUGCGCAAGAAAGUGAUCUUUGCUAUUCUGGGUUUGUCUGCUGGAAGAAGAGGGAAAUCACCUAUUUGAUUUUGUAUUCAUUCAUCUCCUGUUCCUGGAGAAUCUCUGUUGUGUGUCAGGCACAGCUGAGCCUCCCUGUAUAGUCUCGUCUAUCUUCCACCUACAGAGGAGGAAAUGGAGCCUCAGAAUCAGUGCCUUUCUAGUUUGUAAGAAACAGCUCUGAAUGCCUAGCUCCCCCUCGAAUUUCAGUACUGCGUCCCACCAUGCCGCACGGUGCCGAUGAGCCGGCUGGACCUUCAUGGCAAUGGUGGCCCUCUAAAAAUAGGAUCCCCCACCCGGAGGAAUGGGGCAACCACAGGAAGCAGCUCAGACCACUUCCAGGGGACAUUCUUCUGCCUCCAGUAAGCUGGGGAUAGAAGUGGAGCUGCUGACGGAUGAAUGGACUGUUUGCCUGAGUCAUAAAUCAACAGGGACCAGCCCUGCAUCUGAACGAUUCUGGUCUCUACACUUCGCUCCUGAUCACAGGCUGCAGAGGAAGCAAGUCUCCCAGGCUGGGGCCGGCAUCGGAUCCAACGCUGCCUUUCCCUCUAGCAGCGGCUCCCGCAGGGAGGGUCUCCCUGUCCCUAGAACCGGAGCGUGAAAGUCAGCAAAGUCCCAUAAAUCACAGGAAAUGAACUUCUGCCUCUUUAAAUUCCUGCCGCCGUCCCCAUCCCUCCCACAGCCACAAAUAGAUUUCUUUCAAUAUUGGCUCUGACCUCAGUCCUCCCCGCCCCCACGUCUCCUUCUCCACGUUUUUUUUUUUUUU